rnacentral:rRNA from 1 species
AGCAGCCGCGGUAAUUCCAGCUCCAAUAGCGUAUAUUAAAGUUGUUGCAGUUAAAAAGCUCGUAGUUGAAUUUCGGGGUCAGUAGGUUGGUCGUGCCACUGGUAUGUACUGGUCUCACUGAUUCCUCCUUCCUGAUGAGCUGUAAUGCCAUUAAUUUGGUGUUGCAGGGAAUCUGGACUGUUACUUUGAAAAAAUUAGAGUGUUUAAAGCAGGCUAACGCUUGAAUACAUUAGCAUGGAAUAAUGAAAUAGGACGUUCGAUCCUAUUUUGUUGGUUUCUAGGAUUGACGUAAUGAUUAAUAGGGAUAGUUGGGGGCAUUAGUAUUCAAUUGUCAGAGGUGAAAUUCUUGGAUUUAUUGAAGACUAACUACUGCGAAAGCAUUUGCCAAGGAUGUUUUCAUUAAUCAAGAACGAAAGUUAGGGGAUCGAAGACGAUCAGAUACCGUCGUAGUCUUAACCAUAAACUAUGCCGACUAGGGAUCGGAUGAUGUUAAUUUUUUAAUGACUCA